rnacentral:lncRNA from 1 species
CUCAGUACCACAUGAAAAAAAAAAUUGGGGUGGGUGGUUGCACAUAGGCUGAAAUUCAAGUUGAAUUUGUUAAACAUUAAUAGAUGAGAAACAAUGAAGACUCUGUGUGACACUUGGAAGGGACAGGAAAUUGCUGAAGUAGUCAGCAUUCGGGGGAAAAAAGCAAGUCAAAGGGAUGAGAAAUGGGAGGCAAAGCUAGUGGCCAGGUGUCCCGUCUUCCUGGCUGGUGAGACCAUCGGGGUGCUGCCCUCUGACUCCAGGGCCCUGCUGUCACAGGCUCUGUCGUGCUCUAGCCCAAGUGUCCAGCAGGCUUGCAGGACAUCCCGCUCCAGCCUGGGAGAAGGUCAGAUUGAAAUCAGUGGUUAAACUAGUAAAUACAGGGACAGGCAGCUCGUGACCCAGACGUUUGUAUUGCCUUAGUUCGUGCUCCAGGUUUUACAUCAGUGUUUAUGUUUUGGGAAUGAAAAGUAGCUCUUUGCUCUUAGACUGUUCCAUAAACCAUGGCUUUUAAAAAAAAUUCUGAUUUUUUAUUAAUUUUUAAAUGACAAGUAAAAAUUAUAUAGUUGUGGUAUACAACAUAAUGCUUUGAUAUGUGUAUAAACUGUGAAAUAGCUAAAUCAAGCUAAUCAACAGAUGCCUUACUUCACAUACCUGUGUGUAUGUGAAGUACAUUAAAUAUUUUCUCUACACAUCUUUUUCUAAUGAUUCUUAAAUAUUUCCUCUACUAGAAGAAGAUACGUGUUCAAUCAACAAAUAUAUGAAAACAUGUUCAACAUCUCUAGUAAUUAGAGAAGUGCAAAUCAAAACUACUUUAAGAUUUCAUCUCACGCCAGUCAGAAUGGCAGCUAUUAUGAAGACAGACAACAAUAAAUAUUGGCAAGGAUGUGGUGGCAAAAGCACACUCAUGCAUUGCUGGUGGGUCUGCAAAUUGGUACAACUAAUCUGGAAAGCAGUAUGGAGAUUCCUUAGAAAACUUGGAAUGGACCCACCAUUUGAUCCAGCUAUCUCACUCUUUAGUUUAUACCUAAAGGGCUUAAAAUCAGUAUACUAUAGUAAUGCAGCCACAUCAAUGUUUAUAGCAGCUCAAUUCACAAUAGCUAAACUGUGGAAGCAACCUAGAUGCUCUUCAAUAGAUGAGCGGAUAAAGAAACUGUGGUAUAUAUACACAAUGGAAUAUUACUCAGCAUUAAAAGAGAAUAAAAUCAUGGCAUUUGCAGGUAAAUGGAUGGAGUUGGAGAAUAUCAUGCUAAGCAAAGUAAGCCAAUCCCCAAAAACCAAAGGCCGAAGAAUGUUUUCUCUGAUUAGUGGAUACUAAUCUAUAAAUGAGAGAAGCUGUUAUGGGACAAUGGAGGAACUUUGGAUUGGGCAGAGGGGAGGGUGGAGAGGGG